UCACACACCACUGGUAAUUCACCAAUUCGCAACUUUUCUUCCUGCCUUCAUAGAAGCUAAUAUCAUAAACACCUUAUCAUUGUCCUUCAUGAAUCCAUCCACUUGCUUAGCUGAUACAAAUAACUCCUCACUUGCAUCAAAUUAUGGAAAUGACACCGACUUAUGGAAACAGUUGAUAUGAACAUGGUUGAAAUCUAACUAAUUCAUUCCAGGGAUAACACUGAGUUAAUUAAAC
rnacentral:lncRNA from 1 species